AAACGCGGCCUGGAUCGCGCCGGGGCCGCCGCCGCCGCUCGCAGGCGCCCCGCGGUAGCCAAAAAUGGAAGGAAACACAUCUGUAACGCAUUUGUGUGAUGUUCACCUUUGAGACCGCGCGGCUGGAUGGAGGCGGUGUUGCUGUUUCCCGUACACCUCGCCUUGGACAUGACCGUGACCACAGGCAGCGUCUGAGAGAUCGUGUGACCCUCUUGGGCACUGACUUCCUUCCUAGAUCUCAGAGUGGAGUCUGGCAGAAAGCCCGUCACAUGGUGUGGCUUCCAGCUCCAAAGUGCACCCCCCAUACGGCUACUGCACCAUGGCCACGGCCAUCACGCCCGUUUCAGCUGCCACGACCCGUCGUCUGGACCCACCUUAGCGGCCACAGCCGAUCGGGUCCCGUCUCUCCCUGCAGAGAACUUCAGAAUGGCCUUCGAUGAGAUUUAAGGUAAAAUCCGAAUUCUGUGCUGAAGCCCACGAGGCCUCCAUGAUCGAUCUGUGUGUGUUGUUUCAUAUUCUGCCCCGGUAGACUGGAGGCUCCGUGAGGGCAGGACAGGGCCGCUUUUACUCCACAAUUCAUAGCGCCUGGCGUAUAAUAGGCACUCAGUAAAUAUUUGUGGAUCGAACUCAUUUACUGACAUGCUCACACACACAUUCAUGCUACACCUGUUCACCUAGGCCCUCCUCCGGGCCGCCUCCCACACUGGUCUGGGGAAACGGGGUGAAUCAGAGGGCCCUCCUUGGCCUGCUCGGGAGUGGAUGACCCAGUACCAAGCCCAGGUUACGACGGUCUGCCCAUCAGAAUUGCCCUUUCUUACCAGACUGUGACCGUCUGAUCCUCUGUGAGUCAGGCCAGUACUGGCUUAGGGUCAGGAAUCCGGGAGAGCUCACUGGGGCUCCUGUGGGGUGUAGGAGAGAAUCCUAGCCCUCUGCCAUUGUCCUGAGCUGGCAUAUUGCACACAGCUUCUCCAUACACGUUUCCAUAGCAUCCUCACAGAACCCAUCUCGCUGGGUGCCAUCAUUACAACCAGCACGUAGGCAAAGAAGUCAAGGUUCAGAGAGGGCAGGUGACUUGUCCAAGGUCACACAGACGGGAACCAGAAUGUGUCGAGCACAUCCUGCACACCAUGCCUGGUUGCCAGCAUUCUACAUGUACUUUUAAUUUUUAAUUUUUAAUUUUAGAGAGAUAGAGAGCAUGA